rnacentral:rRNA from 1 species
GUCCACGCCCUAAACGAUGCUCACUAGGUGUUGGGGAAGCGAUUCCUUGGUACCGUAGCUAACGCGUGAAGUGAGCCGCCUGGGGAGUACGGCCGCAAGGUUAAAACUCAAAGGAAUUGACGGGGACCCGCACAAGCGGUGGAUGAUGUGGAUUAAUUCGAUGCAACGCGAACAACCUUACCUACCCUUGACAUGUCCGAGAGCCUGCUGAAAGGUGGGUGUGCCUGAAAGGGAAUCGGAACACAGGUGCUGCAUGGCUGUCGU